AUGCAAACAUCAUCUUCAAUCUCUUCUUCGCCAUCUACCAACUUCUGUAUAAACAACAACUUUAUUCUCACUUUCAGUUUCCACAAACAUACCUCCGCCUCCGCCUAUUUCCGUCGACAACCAAACUUUCGAUUCACCAUCAUAGAACUGCCCUUGGCCUCCAUUUUCUCUCCUUUGAUUAACCUCUUCCAACCGACAACUUCCAUUACAACACUACCCAAACUACAAUUCGCUGACCUCCUUAUGCAUAUCGCCUCCAGUCAGUGCACCCUUCAGCAAUAUACUGCCAUCUAG